UGAUUAGUGGCGAACGGGUGAGUAAUACGUGAGUAACCUGCCCUUGACUCUGGGAUAAGCCUGGGAAACCGGGUCUAAUACUGGAUACGACCCCCUGUCGCAUGGUGGGGGGUGGAAAGGGUUUGACUGGUUUUGGAUGGGCUCACGGCCUAUCAGCUUGUUGGUGGGGUAAUGGCUCACCAAGGCGACGACGGGUAGCCGGCCUGAGAGGGUGACCGGCCACACUGGGACUGAGACACGGCCCAGACUCCUACGGGAGGCAGCAGU
rnacentral:rRNA from 1 species